rnacentral:rRNA from 1 species
UACGAAGGGGGCUAGCGUUGUUCGGAUUUACUGGGCGUAAAGCGCACGUAGGCGGAUUGUUAAGUCAGGGGUGAAAUCCUGGAGCUCAACUCCAGAACUGCCUUUGAUACUGGCAAUCUUGAGUCCGGAAGAGGUGAGUGGAACUCCUAGUGUAGAGGUGGAAUUCGCAGAUAUUAGGAAGAACACCAGUGGCGAAGGCGGCUCACUGGUCCGGUACUGACGCUGAGGUGCGAAAGCGUGGGGAGCAAACAGG